rnacentral:rRNA from 1 species
CUUUUAUGGAGAGUUUGAUCCUGGCUCAGGACGAACGCUGGCGGCGUGCCUAAUACAUGCAAGUCGAGCGCGGGAAGCGAGUGGAUCCUCAUCUGAGGUGAAGCUCGUGGAACGAGCGGCGGACGGGUGAGUAACACGUGGGCAACCUGCCUGUAAGACCGGAAUAACCCCGGGAAACCGGGGCUAAUGCCGGGUAAUACUUUUCUUCGCAUGAAGGAAAGUUGAAAGAUGGCUUCUUGCUAUCACUUACAGAUGGGCCCGCGGCGCAUUAGCUAGUUGGUGAGGUAACGGCUCACCAAGGC